GGCACCAUGGUCUUGAGAGAAUCAUUCUUCUUAGUCAACUUCUCGGUCUAAUCAUCUAUGGCAGCAUUGAGGGUCUCUCUCAUUGCAUCUUGAUUGGAACUGAGAGCCUUCAUUACGUAGUCCCUAAGUUGCUCUCUCAUCGAGUUCAACUCAUCGGUGCGCCCCUCAAUUACCUCGAGCGUUUCCUUCACACCACCCAUGGAUUCCUCGAGAUUAGUCACCCGCCCUUCCAAAUUCGACAACAUAUCCUUCGAUUUGCUACUUUUCGAGUCUUCCCAUGUGAUAGAGUAUUGCGCGUGGACCAAGAUCGAGUUACCAAGUCACGGGAAAAGUCUUACGAAAACUAUCGACACUUAGCUCUGAAACGAAAACAGAAAACAGAAAAUUAAACUUAAAAGACCAAGAAAACCAAAUUGAAAUAGAAUGAUUCUUGGGCGGCAAGAAAUGAUGAAUAAAGAACGUUUCUUGAUGCCAAAGAAUGUUGCAAAACAGAUCCUUGAAACUUGGAAUGGUUGGAAACGCAACAAGAACAAUUAAACCAAGUUAAUCAACAAUUCGGCACAAACAAAAAUAAUUAAAAAAGAACAAACAACAAAAAAGAUGGAUAAAAUCCUAAGAAGCCUUAAAAUCAAGAAAGAUUUCACAACUCCCUUCAAACGGCUCUAAUCUUCCCUCCAAUGUAAAAACAAGGCAAGAAGAAGGUUGAAGAUGCUCCCACAAUCAAAAAGAUUGUUAAAACUACUUCUAAAGAAAACUCAAAAGAGAAUUCUUGGAGAAACUCAAAGAGAGUUUUCACUCCACAAAAAAAAAAAUUGAAUUCAAUAUAUCAUCUAUAAGGGUGGCCGGCCAAGCCAUAUAUAUAGGCCUCCUAACUACUUUCCUAUCCCUACUAGGAAAACUAAAAAAACUCUAAUUUUUGCCUUUCAAGGGAAUUUUGUCCAAGGCCUUUAAAUGGGCCCCUUGGACUGAAUUCUUACAUAGAAAUUUAUUCAUAAAGUCUAAAAAUUAAAACUAAGUAUUUAAAGAAUUAAAAUUUUACAAAUCGGGCCACUUUGACAAUUUGGCCUGAUUUUCAACUAAGUCUAAUUUAAACUUCUUGGUUGGGCUUGGAACAUCUUAUUGGGUCGUAUCUUCAAUAACUUGGGCUUGUAAUUCGUUCUCUCCCGAAAUUGGUUCGUUGAUGCUCGUAACUGAGAUCCAAUGCUCCUUAGCUGCAAGAUUCAAUUUCUUGGACCAAGAUUUCCAAGAUUUGAAAUCUUGAUUUUCUUGAUUUUUGAAAUCGCUCAAAACAGCAAAAUUGGACCAAGAUUCGGUUUCUUGAUUUUCUUGAAAACAAGAAAGUGAAUCUUGAUUUUCUUUUUCCUUUGUAUACACAUCUAAGGCCUUGCUAAUGAAGUCUUGAACAGUUCCAUUUAGUUUCAUACGCAUUUGCCUGGCCUUUGACCUCGUUAUUGGGCCUUGUGGUAAUUUGAGCCCAUCACGUUCUUGAGCUUGAGUUGGGCCUUUAUGACUCGUAUCACCAUGGGUCUCCAUCGAGACAUUUUGUUCAUCUACUUCUUUCGUCAUUUUAACCGGUGGCUUUUUACAUUAGCUCAGUUACCAAUUGUCACAGGGCUAGAACUUAAGUUUGGCAAAUCACGCGACCUUAGGCAAUGUCUUUGUUUCAAAUUUGCCUAAGUCAGCCUUACUCUCAAAAAUAAGAAAUUCAAAAAGAAAAAGGCACUAAAAUAAAGCAAAAGCAAACUCACAAAUGAAGAAGCAAAAAGUGAACAAAAAAGCCAUAAGAAAACUAAGAAAACCAAGUGUUUGAGUAAAUACUCUCAAAAUAUAUUCAAUAACUUUUUUUUGAUCAAGUAUAUUCAAUAACUUUGAAUGGAAUACAAUGGGAUGAUUACAAAUGAGGGGGAAACCCUCUAUUUAUAGUUGAGCUCCCCCAUAUCCAAUGGUGCAGAUUGAAUUACAUCAAUGAUUGAGAUUAGUGUCUGUCUACAAGAUGAAAGUCCUAAGAGAUUUAAACUCUAUACAUCUUUAUCCCUUAGGAUUUACAAUAAUUGCCUUGGUAACUCUAGUUUUACUAGAGUGUUUCACUGGCCAGUUCAAGUGGAUCAAAUGAGCCCCAUUUAAUCAAUUGACCUCCAUGAGAAGCUCUGUGUGCAUUCGUCACGGGCUUUGAUCCGCGGCCCGUGACAUAAGAAUAAACUCAUAAUUAAUUAAAUAAUGAUUUCUAAUCUCGUGGUGAUUAAUAUUAAGUUUCAAUCAUAUUUAUUGUUGACACAUUUAUAAAAUUUUAUAAAAAAAUUUUAAUUAGUGUAUAAUUUUUUAUAAGAAAAAAAGAGAAGGGUUCAAAUUAACAAAAGUUGUAAAGGUUGAUUGGCUAAAUUAGUGAUUGUACCUAAUUUUUUAACAAAGUUAAUGAAAAAAAUUAAUGAAGGGACUGGAAAUGAGCAAAUAAAAAAAAUAGAGAGACUAAUUUUGAGCAAAUAAAAGUAGAGGGAUUAAAUCCGCACAAAUUGAUAAGUACAUAGACUAUCAUCAAAAUUUAACCUAUAGUCUAAUAUGGGUUCAAAAUUUAAUUAAGUGAUAAUAAUUGUAACACUAAUAAUAAAAAGUUAUUAAUAAAUUUAAUUUAUAUUUUAUAUAAAAAAUUUAAAAAUAAUUAUAAUUAUUUUAUUUUAUAUUAAUAUUUUUAUCAUAUUUAUUUAAAAGAAACAUGAGAGUAAAAAGGUACCUACACGAUCAAAUUAAUUGUUGUUAUUUCUUGUAAUAAUUAAUGGUAUGCGUAAUACCUAUAUAUAAUUUAUCUAAGACGAUUUUAUUAUUUUUAAUUUAUUUAAUUAUAUUCAAUGAAUUAAUAAUUAAUUAAUAUUACCUUUGUUAUUAUUCCAAUAAUAUAUUAAUAAAUUAUUAUUAUAUCAAUUUAAUAAUAUAAUAAAUGAUAAAAAAUAUUAUCAUUAAUUCAAACUUUCUUCUCAACUCAUCUUUUUACGUAAGUUAUAAGGUUAAUAUUAAUUGGUAAUUAGGAUUUUGGGUUUAAAGUAAUAUUUUUUAAUCAAAAUCAAAUCAAAUCAAAUCAUUGCAAAACCUAAGGGAGAAAGAAUCACAUAAAAUUCAUACAUAAUAUACACAUAAUUACAAUAAAAGCUAAACAAGAAACGAAUACGAUACUCUUACCCAAUAAUGCAAAACCUUCAUUGGCUUCUGGUUCCCUAGAAUUUGUUUAGUGUUUAUGAAUGUAUGAUGUUAUUCAAGAAAUCAUUAAAAAAAAGGAGUGAAGUGACAGUUAUAAUCUGUGCUUAGAGAUCAAAAUGUAUUGGUCCCUUUGCCUUGUUGGGUGGUGGGACCAGGCUUCAAGUAUCAACACUUUCAACUAAUUGAUACGAGCUCAAUUGUUGUUGCUUCGAGUCGUAUUAGUUUGUCCGAUCAUGAAUUUGGGGUAAAACUUGGUUCGUUUCAAGAGGGAUGGAAAAAAUAGAAGGUAGGCUUCAAAUAAGGUUUAAAAGGAAGCUGGUUAAACAAAGGAAUGGAUAAUUUGGCCAAACCCAGAGAAUGAACCAAAAAUAGAGUGAUUGUUGGCCUGAGUCUCAAAGUAGCUCUUUGGUGAAUUUCGAUUUAGGAAAUCAACAAAAAACCUUGACUCGUUAUCAAAUGUGAUUGGAACUAAAGGUAUAUGAACGCCACACUAGAAGUGAUAAGUUCGGAUUAACAAAGGAAAGAAUGACGCCACAAGACAACUUGAUAAGUCAAUUCAGUCCCGAAAAGAACAAGGAGAAUUGGAAAUCUCACAAGUUUCAAUUGAUUCAUACAAUUGGUAAAAAGUCCCUACAACAAGAAAUUAGCUAAGUAUUUAUAGCUAGAAAUCUAUGCUAGCCGAAUAGACACAUGGGCAACUAAAUGGACAAAUGUUUUCAGCUUUAAUGAGCUGAAACUUCUUUGAAAGUUCCUAGCAGCUUCCUUGAAGUUUCCUUGAGCAUGGAGGACGUCAAUAGUUAGCUUCUAGAUGCCUUGAUUCAGCUGAAAAUUAAUGAAGUGAUUGGGAGCUGAAUUGACUUAAUUAGGUUCGGCCCAAGGGUAUGAACCAUCUUUAAUAGGCUGCCUUGAAGAGCUG
rnacentral:lncRNA from 1 species